GUCUACGGCCAUGCCACCCUGAACAAGCCCAGUGUCUGAUCUCAGAAGCUAAACAGGGUCGGGCCUGGUUAGUACUUGGAUGGGAGACCACCUAGGAAAACCAGGUGCUGUAGGCA
rnacentral:rRNA from 1 species